rnacentral:rRNA from 1 species
AGCGAACGCUGGCGGCAGGCUUAACACAUGCCAGUCGAGCGGGCAUCCUUGUGGUGUCAGCGGCAGACGGGUGAGUAACGCGUGGGAACGUGCCCUUCGGUUCGGAAUAACUCAGGGAAACUUGAGCUAAUACCGGAUACGUGCGAGAGCAGAAAGGUUUAUCUGCCGAAGGAUCGGCCCGCGUCUGAUUAGCUAGUUGGUGAGGUUAUGGCUCACCAAGGCGACGAUCAGUAGCUGGUCUGAGAGGAUGAUCAGCCACACUGGGACUGAGACACGGCCCAGACUCCUACGGGAGGCAGCAGUGGGGAAUAUUGGACAAUGGGGGCAACCCUGAUCCAGCCAUGCCGCGUGAGUGAUGACGGCCUUAGGGUUGUAAAGCUCUUUUCUUCGGGACGAUAAUGACGGUACCGGAGGAAUAAGCCCCAGCUAACUUCGUG